AUUGAACGCUAACGGCGUGCUUAAUACAUGCAAGUCGAACGGCAGCACAGCAGUAGCAAUACUGUGGGUGGCGAGUGGCGGACGGGUGAGUAAUGCAUAGGAAUCUGCCUUGUAAUGGGGGAUAACCCGGGGAAACUCGGGCUAAUACCGCAUAAUCUUUACGAAGCAAAGUGGGGGACCGUAAGGCCUCACGUUAUAAGAUGAGCCUAUGUUGGAUUAGCUAGUUGGUGGGGUAAAGGCCUACCAAGGCGACGAUCCAUAGCUGUCUGAGAGGAUGAUCAGCCACAGUGGGACUGAGACACGGCCCAGACUCCUACGGGAGGCAGCAGUGGGGAAUAUUGGACAAUGGGGGAAACCCUGAUCCAGCAACGCCGUGUGUGUGAAGAAGGCCUUAGGGUUGUAAAGCACUUUCAGUAGGGAAGAAAAGCUUAAGGGUAAUAUCCUUGAGUAUUGACGUUACCUACAGAAGAAGCACUGGCUAACUCUGUGCCAGCCGCCGCCGUAA
rnacentral:rRNA from 1 species